UGACGCGUCGUUGAGGAUCGGUGUAUGAGUUCUUGAAGUGGUGAUGACUCGCCGUUAAUCUGAUCGCUCCAGAUCGUUCAGGUCGAUCCGGCGACGUUGAAAUUAAACGCCUCGUGGACGCCACCGCGAUCCACCCCCUCAUCACUGUGUGGAUACGCCGAUUACACAGGCCCUGUUCACUUACCUGCUUUUGGGUGCUAAUUCUCACAUGGAUCAUCCUUGGCGCUCGAUAUUCCCUAUGGCAAUUGUUUGGUGCAGCCUUCUGUGUGGUUGGGCUUGGCAUAGUGCUCCUCUCUUAUGCAGGGGUGGCUGGUAGAGCUGCAACCAGUGGAGGAACCAAUCAAAAAGAACAUAAGCAAUUGCCUUCUUUUGAAGGUAGUACUCCGUACUCCCGCCAUUUUGUUCUUUUGCAGAGAAUUGGGGCUUUUUUAGUUGCUUAGCUUGCAGUAUUU